rnacentral:tRNA from 1 species
GUACAGGAUAGCCUAGAGGACAUGGCACCUGCCCGGUAAGCAGAAGGUUGUGGGUUCGAUUCCCGCUCCUGGACA